rnacentral:rRNA from 1 species
GGGAUUGCCUUAGUAACUGCGAGUGAAGCGGCAAAAGCUCAAAUUUGAAAUCGGCGUCCUUUGCGGGCAUCGAGUUGUAAUUUGGAGGGAUAACUUCGGUACAGACUACAUCGUAAGUUCCUUGGAACAGGACGUCAUAGAGGGUGAGAAUCCCGUGUCUUGGUGUUUGGCUGUGCCAUGUGAAGUGUCUCCGACGAGUCGAGUUGUUUGGGAAUGCAGCUCAAAAUGGGUGGUAAAUUUCAUCUAAAGCUAAAUAUUGGCGAGAGACCGAUAGCGCACAAGUAGAGUGAUCGAAAGAUGAAAAGCACUUUGAAAAGAGAGUUAAAAAGUACGUGAAAUUGUUGAAAGGGAAGCGCUUGCGACCAGACUCGAUCUUUGGUGAUCAGCCGGGCUUCGGUCCGGUGCCCUUACCAUUGAUUGGGCCAGCAUCGGUUCCGACGGCGGGAUAAAAGGAGGAGGAAUGUGGCUCCCUUCGGGGAGUGUUAUAGCCUUCUUCACAAUGCCGCCAGUUGGGACCGAGGACCGCGCUUCGGCUAGGAUGCUGGCGUAAUGGUCUUAAGCGACCCGUCUUGAAACACGGACCAAGGAGUCUAACAUCUAUGCGAGUGUUCGGGUGGAAAACCCUUGCGCGUAAUGAAAGUGAACGGAGGUGUGAACCCUUUACCGGGUGCAACAUCGACCGGUCCUGAUGUCUUCGGAAGGAUCUGAGUAAGAGCAUAGCUGUUGGGACCCGAAAGAUGGUGAACUAUGCCUGAAUAGGGUGAAGCCAGAGGAAACUCUGGUGGAGGUUCGCAGCGGUUCUGACGUGCAA